CAAAAGAAAUGCCAGCAAAAGAAUUAAGCGGGGAUUUUUUCCCACUGCGCGGCCCUUUUUCCCUUCGCGCGCUCGCACAAAAGCCCUACCCCCUUUUUUUUCCCUCGACGCCUCCAAAACCUUUUUCGCCCUAGCUCGCAAAACCCUUCGCCGCACAAAUCUGUGCCUUCCUCGCCUCGUCGCCUCUCCCAAAUCCGUGCCUUUCUCGCCUCGUCGUCGCCACCGCCUCCUUCCAAGAAGUCGAGGCCGCGCCGCCCUCUGGUCCUACUGCUUCCCCCCUCUAUUUUGAAGGCAAGAACUCGCCGAUCGCCGGCGGCGGAGGAGGAGGAAGGCGAGCGGGAGAGAAGCAUUUCGACGCCGACGCAUCGAGAAGAAUCUAUCCCUUUUCUGGUAGCUCAAGAGAUAGAAACAGAAGCCCAGUUUCAAAAGGACUUCAUAUCUAAACUGGUCUAUACAGGUAAUUCUAUUAUCAAGAUCGAAUACCUAAAGUACUUGUUGAGAGUAUGGAUAAGACUUGGAUUCUUAAGCCAAGGUCAAGUGCUGAUUACCAGCAAGGCUUGGACCAAUUCCUCAAAUUUGCAUUCGACAAUGCAUCUAAAGAAAGUAUGAU